rnacentral:misc_RNA from 1 species
UUAAGUUCAGCGGGUAUCCCUACCUGAUCCGAGGUCAACCUGAAGAAAUUGGGGGUUAUUGGCAAGUAACCACCUGGAUCUCCAAAGCGAGAAGAAUUACUACGCUUGAAGCCAAAUGGCACCGCCACUGAUUUUAAGACCUGCCAGAAACUGGCAAUGUCCAACACCAAGCUGAGCUUGAAGGUUUAAAUGACGCUCGA